CCACCGAUAGCUCAGUUGGUAGAGCGGAGGACUGUAGAAGCUAGCUACUCAUGCAGACAUCCUUAGGUCACUGGUUCAACUCCGGUUCGGUGGA
rnacentral:tRNA from 1 species